rnacentral:lncRNA from 1 species
AGUGUCCCUUGCGUCCUUGGCCUUCCCUCGGCACCUCCGUCCAUGUUCAGAGUUUUCAGAAGAAUUUGUUAGGUCUGUAAUCUGAUUCUGGGGAAGGUUUUCUCACUGGGAAAUGCUGGAGCCGUUUUUCUGAGCUGAACUUUCCCAUCUGGAAUCUGUCUGGUUGGUGGUGCCCUGACCCCACCUUCAGUCAGCCCAUGGGUCUCCCCGCCAACUUCCUACUCACCCAAUGUCCUGUGUUGGCCCUGAGGCCAGUGUCAGAGGAGAAAGAAGAGGAGGAAGAGCACCAGCUGAAGGCCACUGAGACCCCGAUCACAACCCCCAGGUGCUUUCCCAGACCCUGAGGUAGGACUGUGAAGGUGUACUGAUGCCCUUGCCAAAUGAAAGGAAACUGUUCCUGAUGGUUCUUAUUAACAGUGAUGGAGAAAAAAAUAUUUAACACAUCAAUGGCUGAAUACUGGGUAUCAGGGGAUGUAUUAAUUUGCUCAAACUACAAAACCACAUCUGUUACAACAUCUUCAAUUGGAUCUGAUUAAGCUUACAAUAAUCUAAUAUCAUUAUCCAAGAUCCCUGCGUCUUCUGUGGAGGUAAAAUAGGAGAGGUGAAUGGCAAGGUUG